CAGUCGCCGCGGUAAUACGAAGGGGGCUAGCGUUGUUCGGAAUCACUGGGCGUAAAGGGUGCGUAGGCGGAUUCUUAAGUCAGGGGUGAAAUCCCGAGGCUCAACCUCGGAACUGCCUUUGAUACUGGGGAUCUUGAGUCCGGAAGAGGUGAGUGGAACUGCGAGUGUAGAGGUGAAAUUCGUAGAUAUUCGCAAGAACACCGGUGGCGAAGGCGGCUCACUGGUCCGGAACUGACGCUGAGGCACGACAGCGUGGGGAGCAAACAGGAUUAGAUACCCGAGUAGUCCCUGUCUCUUAUAC
rnacentral:rRNA from 1 species